rnacentral:rRNA from 1 species
AGUGAACGCUGGCGGCAGGCCUAAUACAUGCAAGUCGAACGGCAGCACAGCAGAGCUUGCUCUGUGGGUGGCGAGUGGCGGACGGGUGAGGAAUACGUGGGAAUCUGCCCAGUCGUGGGGGAUAACGUAGGGAAACUUACGCUAAUACCGCAUGCGCCCUUCGGGGGAAAGCCAGGGACCUUCGGGCCUGGCGCGAUUGGAUGAGCCCACGUCGGAUUAGCUAGUUGGCGGGGUAAAGGCCCACCAAGGCGACGAUCCGUAGCUGGUCUGAGAGGAUGAUCAGCCACACUGGAACUGAGACACGGUCCAGACUCCUCCGGGAGGCAGCAGUAGGGAAUAUUGGACAAUGGGCGCAAGCCUGAUCCAGCCAUGCCGCGUGAGUGAAGAAGGCCCUCGGGUUGUAAAGCUCUUUUGUCCGGAAAGAAAAGCGCCGGGUUAAUACCCUGGUGUCCUGACGGUACCGGAAGAAUAAGCACCGGCUAACUUCGUGCCAGCCGCCGCGGUAAUAC